CUCAUACUCCAUCCCUCCGGAAAUACUUGUCGUGGGAAUGGAUGUAUCUAGAUGUAUUUUGGUUCUAUAUACAUUCAUUUGUAUCCAUUUUUGUGACAAGUAAUUCCGGACGGAGGGAGUACAUU
rfam:Hordeum vulgare subsp. vulgare, WGS project CAJW01000000 data, contig: morex_contig_48747